UACGUAGGGGGCAAGCGUUGUCCGGAAUCAUUGGGCGUAAAGAGCGUGUAGGCGGCCUGGUAAGUCCGCUGUGAAAGUCCAGGGCUCAACCCUGGAAUGCCGGUGGAAACUGUCAGGCUCGAGUCCGGAAGAGGCGAGUGGAAUUCCUGGUGUAGCGGUGAAAUGCGCAGAUAUCAGGAGGAACACCAAUGGCGAAGGCAGCUCGCUGGGACGGUACUGACGCUGGAGACGCGAAAGCGUGGGGAGCGAACAGG
rnacentral:rRNA from 1 species